UAACCUCUGAUGUAUAUGUAUGUUA
rnacentral:ncRNA from 1 species